rnacentral:rRNA from 1 species
UACGUAGGGUGCGAGCGUUGUCCGGAAUUAUUGGGCGUAAAGGGCUCGUAGGCGGUUUGUCGCGUCGGGAGUGAAAACCCAGGGCUUAACCCUGGGCUGGCUUCCGAUACGGGCAGACUAGAGGUAUGCAGGGGAGAACGGAAUUCCUGGUGUAGCGGUGAAAUGCGCAGAUAUCAGGAGGAACACCGGUGGCGAAGGCAGCUUGCUGGGACAUUACUGACGCUGAGCUACGAAAGCGUGGGGAGCAAACAGG